rfam:Glossina morsitans morsitans, isolate Yale, WGS project CCAG01000000 data, contig: ctg10006993
ACUAAAGUGCCAGCACAUGGAUUGCAACCAUUCUCCGCGAAAUAAUACCUAACGCGGUGAUGCCGCGGAGAAGAGUGGUCGAAGAAACGUGUGUGUGUGUGUGUGAUGGUUAGUCUUAGUACGUAGGCGCCAUGGAUGGCGAAUCGUGCAUGCAACUAUUACGGGCCAGUAAUGUCUUUCGGAGAUUUCUACCUUCAGCUCGC